rnacentral:rRNA from 1 species
AGUUAUGUAACUAAUCUUUUGGAUUCAUUUAACUAAUAAUUAUUGUAUUUUUAAUUUAAAUUUAUUAGGUGAAAUUUUAAUUUUAAAUAAAAAUUUAUUUUUGUUGGUGAUUUAUGUGAAAUUUAAUUUUUAAACUAGGAUUAGAUACCCUAUUAUUUUGAAUGUAAAUAAAUAUUCCUGAUUAGUAUUAGCUAUUUUCUUGAAAAUUAAAGAUUUUGGCGGUAUUUUAGUCUAUUCAGAGGAACCUGUCCUGUAAUCGAUAUUCCACGAUAAAUUGUACUUUUUCUAUAUAUUUACAUAUCGUCGUGGUUUGAAUAUUUUAUAAGUAUUUGAAUAUUCAUAAUUUUAUUUAAAAAGGAAAUCAGAUCAAGGUGUAGUUUAUGGGAAAGCUUGAGAUGGGUUACAUUAAAUUUAUUUAUUGAUUUUUUCUUGAAAAGAAAAAUGAGUUCGGAUUUGGUAGUAAUUUUAAUUAUUUUAUUAAGAUGAUUAAAGCUCUAAAAUAUGUACAUAUCGCCCGUCGCUUUCACUCUAAAGUGAAAUAAGUCGUAACAUAGUAGGCUUACUGGAAAGUGUGCCUAGAAAGUUGGACUGGAGCUUGAUAUUAAGCGUUUUAUUUACAUUAAAAGGUAGGUUGUGAAAUUCAACUUAGUCUAAUAUUUAAAUAUUUAUUAUUUUUUUUUUUGUUUUAUUUUUAAAAUUAGAAUAUUAAUUUUUAUUAUUUUUUGAAAAAAUUUUUUUAAUUAUAGUUUAUUAGUACUGUGGGGGAAUAUUAAUUAAUUUUUUAAUAGAAUAAUUAUUUUUU